UUUCCUAUUACAGAUAGUAAGGCUGAAGAUGGAAAAGCACCUGACAAGUCUGAAGAGGAUGCAUCAGGAAAAGACAUGAAACAGCCAGCAGUGGAGGACCAGUCUGAGCUUGUCUCUAGUAGUGACAAAUAAAGCAUUUAAACUGUGAAAGGAGCCAGGGUUACAGUCCAGCAAGCCAAACUACUGUGUUGUGACAGAAGAAGAGCUAAGCAAAGGAAACAUAAAGAAUGUCAUGUGUCCUGGAAGGCUGUGCUAUGUGGUGGUGUAGUAAAAGAUGUGUUAUCUUCCUGGGAAAUAUUUCCUUUUCCAUAUGGAGAUUGUUUUGAAGAUGGACGUACUGGGAAUGUUUGAAGAUGGACAUCUAUUGAAUCACACACCAAAUGCCUUCCCAUUCAUCCCUUCAGUCCUUAAUUUUUACAAGCAGUCACAGCGCUUCAUUUAUUCAUGCCAGUUCUUAGCGAUUAACAACACCCUACUCUUGAUGUGUAUGAAAAACUAAUCCCUGUGAUAUACUGCCUAUUUUUGUACAGUUUAGAUGAAAAAGAGAAACAGAUUCAGAGAAAAGACAGGUUCAGCCUGCAGCAGUAAAUAAGUUUCUUCUAAAUUCUUUCCCUUGGUGGAACUCAGUGGAAGAUGGGAAAGAAUGAUCUUUGGUUCUUUAGAAGUGACUUUCUGAGCUAAGGACCCAACCUGCUCUUGAACUGGAAUGGAAGCUGUACUUAUGCAAGUGUUGUAAAAACUCCAUUUUUAUUACAAGUCUUGCAGUAUUUGAGUAUGUUUAAAGCCCAAGGUUCUGUAUUCGUAUCUUGAACGUGCAGAGAGGCUUGGAUGUAGACGAUUCAUAGGGUCCAUUCCAAAACUGAGUCUGUGAGACAAUGAAAAUAGAAAAUUCAGGCUGAAGCCAGCCUGAAUUUUAUGAAGAACCAUGAUGAAUGUGAAAGAUAACUAGUGGACAUGAGAAGCCAUGAGACUCUUACCUUGCUGUGGGCCUGUGAAUUUCUUAUCAAGGAACACUCUUCAGUUGUGUAUUGUACACAGUCUUCCAAGCUUUUGCUACAAAAAAAGUGUGUGUCAGGGAAUCUCUUGGUGAUCAGCCCUGUAGUUAAAAAAUCAGAAGGAACCUGUUAUGGGCAAAUUGACCUUCCAAGCAAGUUCAGUGGAUCCUAUAUGACCUAAGGUUGAAUGAUAAGCAGGGCUGGACACAGGUAUGGGUGUACUGGGUGGCUGCUUGGGGCCUAGACAGACUGGGGGCCCGAACAUAGUAAUUU